UCCCUGGUAGCUCAGCUGGGAGAGCAGGUGGCUGUUAACCACCCUGUCCGUGGUUCGAAUCCGCGCCGGGGAG
rnacentral:tRNA from 1 species